rnacentral:rRNA from 1 species
GUGGGGAAUAUUGGGCAAUGGGGGAAACCCUGACCCAGCAACGCCGCGUGAGGGAAGAAGGUUUUCGGAUUGUAAACCUCUGUCCUUGGUGACGAAGGAAGUGACGGUAACCAAGGAGGAAGCCCCGGCUAACUACGUGCCAGCAGCCGCGGUAAUACGUAGGGGGCAAGCGUUGUCCGGAAUGACUGGGCGUAAAGGGCGUGUAGGCGGCCGAUUAAGUCUGGAGUGAAAGUCCUGCUUUCAAGGUGGGAAUUGCUUUGAAGACUGGUUGGCUUGAGUGCGGAAGAGGUAAGUGGAAUUCCCAGUGUAGCGGUGAAAUGCGUAGAGAUUGGGAUGAACACCAGUGGCGAAGGCGACUUACUGGGCCGUAACUGACGCUGAGGCGCGAAAGCGUGGGGAGCGAACAGGAUUAGAAACCCCUGUAGUCC